rnacentral:rRNA from 1 species
ACGGGUGAGUAAUACAUCGGAACGUACCCUGUCGUGGGGGAUAACUAACCGAAAGGUUAGCUAAUACCGCAUACGACCUGAGGGUGAAAGCGGGGGAUCGCAAGACCUCGCGCGAUAGGAGCGGCCGAUGUCAGAUUAGCUAGUUGGUGAGGUAAAGGCUCACCAAGGCGACGAUCUGUAGCGGGUCUGAGAGGACGGCCCGCCACACUGGAACUGAGACACGGUCCAGACUCCUGCGGGAGGCAGCAGUGGGGAAUUUUGGACAAUGGGGGCAACCCUGAUCCAGCCAUUCCGCGUGAGUGAAGAAGGCCUUCGGGUUGUAAAGCUCUUUCGGCAGGAACGAAACGGCGCGCUCUAACAUAGUGCGUCAAUGACGGUACCUGAAGAAGAAGCACCGGCUAACUACGUGCCAGCAGCCGCGGUAAUACGUAGGGUGCGAGCGUUAAUCGGAAUUACUGGGCGUAAAGCGUGCGCAGGCGGUUUUGUAAGACAGAUGUGAAAUCCCCGGGCUUAACCCGGGAACUGCGUUUGUGACUGCAAGACUUGAGUGUGGCAGAGGGGGGUGGAAUUCCACGUGUAGCAGUG